AGUUGGAAUUGAUACAAAAUCGCUUGUUCAAAAAAUGCAAAACUUUGUAUUGAAAAAAAAAUUUACCCCUAAAAAUGGACUCCUCAAACUUGUGUGGGUAAAAACAAAAGGCAGAGCAUUCCACCUUUAAAUCAUAUUCUUACUGCAGAAUCAGAAGUAGAAAUUGAUUUUAAUACAUAAAAAAAAAACACAAGAAAACUCCUUUAAGUCAACAAAACAGAAAGAGAAAAAAAAAAUUAUCUUUGAAGAACCUCCUUUACCAUCAUUAAAAUUGUGGGAGCCACCAAAGCUUCCUGAUUCCGAUUCAAACUUUUUGUCCGUCUCUGCCUCAAUGGAUCAAGUAGAUGACUUGCCAGUUACACAGAUAGUGUUUCCAUCAGAAAUGCAGUCUGUUUCACAAGUUCAACCGUUACUGCAUUCAUCUUCUUCCUUUUCUUUACCAUCUCAAAAAACUGAGAUAGACCAAAUAAAUAACUUUAUUCGGAAAGCAAAUGUUGAACCCAAUACUGUUGAAGGCAUUCAAUUUAUAGUGAAGUCCAUGUACAGAAAACUUUGUGGGUUGGAAACAGAAAUGCGUUCCAUGCGUU